rnacentral:lncRNA from 1 species
GGAAAUAAACCUGUAUAGGAGGAUUCGAACACAAGGAAUGACUAGUUGCUUAAGCGUUCAUAUUAAGGUCAUACAAUCAAUUACCUCCUGAAUGUAUCGUCUCUAUUUCCAAUAUCUGAACACACAAGGAAACUAUAAUCUCCUCCUUCACCUUAUCGGUCUCUUCCUUACAGCAAUUCAGUCAUACCAAUAACUGCUAUUUCUACCAAUAUAUUCACCUUCAUAAUCUCUAACUAUAAUACUAUACCCUCACAACUUUCAGCACACAAUUAUCCUCAUUCUAAUCACUAGAAUUCUUCACACAGAACUAUCAUUCAUAUUACGGUGUUUUACACAAACAUAGACUCAUUCUCUUUGUUGAACUACAAUCAAAUUUCAACAUUCAAUCUUUCUUCUUCUCAAAUAAUACCAAUCACAUUUCCAUUCCAUAAUUCACUUCACAAUAUUCAGAAACUCUCAAUCCUCUUAUUCAAAGAAAAUAAUAAACAAAAGAAAAGAGAUAGCACCAAGCUUACUUCGGCUAACACUAUCACAGCGAUGGCACCCUAAUUAACUUCUACAACUCUUAUAUACUUUCCCAUGAUUCUCCAGGUUCUAACCGUAAUUCUGUAAUUAACCACUUUUAAUAACUAAAUCACUCAUCCGUCUUCUUGAAUUUCCUAUUAUAUGGACUAUUAAUAUAUUUUACCAAUAUCUUUUAAAAACAAAUUAAUAUCUAUUCUACAUAGUCUCACUCCUAUCUGUAUAGCGUCCUCACAAAUAGUCAAUUGAUAUCUAUCUAAAAAUUAUCUAACAAAACUCUACAAAAAUUGUAAUCCCUCUGGCCUAUCUAAUUAAUCAAUUUCCAUAGUAUCUGUUAUUGGUUCCACCGAUUCCGAUUCCAAUUGCAAAUCUUCCAAUCCUUCCAUUGGCUCCUACCUCAACUGAGUUGAAAAGUCUUCAUUGUACUCAUCCAGUACAUGGACUUGAGCAUCAAGUUUCAAGAUCUGGACAAUCCGAAGUUUCAAUUAUUAUUGCUACUGACUCAUCCAUUCUGGAAUAUCUUCAAUCGACACUUGUGACCGGCUCCUCACUAUUAAUUCUUAACUGGAACUACUACUCUCGAAAACACAAGAAAUACAAGAAAAUGGCACUCCAGUCAAUCCAAAAUAAUACCACAGAAUGACUUUAACCGGUGCCUCACUCCUAUUUUUUUACUACUUGGUGAUAAUAACAAUAGGUUAUCCAUACUAUCCGUGAAAGAUAAUGGAAAGUAAGCUUUCUUGGUGGCCGCAUUAAGUUUCCAAAAAUCCUGACAAAUUUGGAUUUUUCCAUUCUUUUUUGGCACCAUCAUGAUUGGCGACACCCAUAUACUAUGCGAAACAGGAUAAAUAAAAUCCAUGUCGAGAAGUUUAUCGAAUUCCUCUUUCACUAAAAGGAAAUAUUUUGAGUUAAGCUGGUAUUGUCUUUGUCGAACUGGCAUAACACCCUCCUCUAAAAUAAUCUGGUGCUCACACACAUCAACCGGAAUUCCUUUCAAAUCCACAUACGACCACGUAAAGGCAGAUUUGUGAUAGACGAAAAACUGUUUUCAAGCAUUCAAUUCUGUACCUAUAAUAUCGAUAUAUAUUUUAAUUAGCUGUGGCAUUUCAUUGGUGCUCAGAUUAAUGGAUUGACACAUAGAAUCUUCAACAAUCUCUGAUUUAAUUGUCUUCUCCUGAUCUGAAUAUCUUCUAUUAUUCAACAUAUGGGAACCACCCAAAUCUGGUUCCAAUGUACUCACUCUAUUGACUGCAAAAUUAUUCAUCCAUUCGGCAAUAGCAUGAUCCGAGUUAGUUGCAUCCUCUUGAUGCAGUAAAUAUUCGCCAGGACCUCUACAUUGGUAGACUCCUACCUUUGAUGUUGAAGUAUUUUUUCCUAACCGAAAUUGCGGUGAACCUAUAAUAUCAGCAUCUUCCUCAAUCGAUUGACUCUCAUUGUCCAAUGUAAAUUCUGAUUCUGGCAAUUGAGAUUCUCCAUGAUAUUGUACUAGAUACAUCUGUAGAACAAUCUGGUCUCGGCCUUUUCCAAUUGUCAAUGUGCCUCGACUCCAAUUGUUCUUAGCUUUGGCUUGAUAAAGCCAAGGUCUACCCAAUAAAAUGGGAUACGAUAAUAUAAAACUUUGUAAUUAGAAUACAAUAUAAUCGAUUUUGUAUGUCAAUCUCAUAAUUACAGUAGCAAUAUUUCAUAAGAUUCACAUUGGCUUUAUCUGACUAUGAUCUGCCAUUCGCAAGUCCAAUGUCAUAGGUAGCAAUUGCUUUAGAUCCAAAUCCUCCAUUGUAUCUGUGUUCAUUAAAUUCACACUGGAGCCACCAUCGACUUGUAUCCCUGGAAUUAAAAUGCCAUCGAUUGAUACAUCGAUUGUUGGUGCUCCCGGAUCUGGGUUUAAGCUAACUUCAUGAAUUUCUUUAGUGCGGGAUCUUCGUCAUAUUAGCACUGAAUUCAAUGUAGAUCGAUUUUCUGGUGCUACAACCAAAAGUUGCUUCAUUAUAAUUGAAAGUUGAAUAACAUCCAAAUCCUUCAGAAUGUCAUAGGGUUCUAUAUUGAGAGUAAUUUCCAAUGCUCUUUUGCGUUUCAUUGGUUUUGAUUUUACUCCAUUCGACAGCAAUUCCUUCUUGGCGAUUGGAAUUGCCGCUGGUAACUUUGCCAACUUUUCUACCACUAAAGGUUCCUUUAAUACGUAAGAUCUUUUAUUGGGCUGUACAGGUAUUGGUAGUUGUCACUUGGGAUCGUUCUUAAUGGUCCUAAAAAAUUGGCACAUGGAACCAAAUUGGGUUCCUCAGUCUGUUGAGGUCUCAAUAUUGGGAUAUGUCCUAAUACUGAUAUUGGUUCGUUUAGCCUCAUAGACGGCACUACUUGCUCUCCUGCGAUUGGUUCAUCCAGGUUUUGAAUUAAAUUCUUAUCUUUUUAUUGGCCUCUGGUAAGCAUUGCAUUCACCACCUCGACAUGAUGUACUUGUGAGUCUUGUUGAACAAAGUCUUUAUCCUCCGCCAAUUGGCUUGUUUGCAUUUGCUCGUCCCGGUUAUUAUAAUUAAAGGGCGCAUUGCACUGCUGAUAAGUGUGACCAGACUGCUUACAAUUUCCACAUAUUGGAGCAUAGUCAUCAUUGGCCCUUGGAUUAGGAUAUUCACUCCCAUAAUGUUCAAUUUUUUUGCAAUGAUAGCAAUGAAGUGGUCUCUUGCCAACUCCUUCAGGGAUAUUGGGUGUCUCUACUAGUAUAUAACGACUAGGUCUGUUCCAUGUCGGAUGAGUAAAGGAUUCUGAUUAACCCAUUGUUAUUGUAGACUCUGGCAUUGGCUUCGUCAUGGAUAGAUAUUGAUGGUAUCCUAGUUGGUUCAUUGCCAAUCCGUGAGUAUUAGAUAUACCUUCUUGGUGAAAUUCAGAGUUUAGAAAAUUGAAAUAAUUCUUAUUUUGUUUAUUCGCUCGAUUUCCAUUCCAACCAAACCUAUUAUUCGUUUGUACUUAAUUGACAUCCCACGAAAUUGGUUGAGUCAUUAUCUGGUUACUGAGUUGUUGUUGCUUCUGUAAAUUCGAACAGUUGGUGGUAAUAUGCUUGCCCUCGCAAAAGAUACAUUGUACAGUCAUUUGGGGUGGUGAAGGACAUUCUGUUAUUAAAUGACCUUGCCCCUUAUAAUUGCUGCACCAAACAUUGGGACGCAUAUUGGUUGGUUUAUACCUUUUUUUUUAUCCUUGUCCAGAUUCACAGCCAAUUCAUCCAUUUUUUUCAUCAAUGUUAACAACAAUGACUCAUUGGGAUCCUUUGAUACCAAUGUAUUUGGUAAUUCUUUUAUAGGUAUUGAUUUUUCAUACACAGAAUAAGGUGCAUAUGGAUGUGAUGAUGAUGGUGGUACAGCGUGCAAUGGAACGACAUCUACGAUUCCCUUUGAAAUUAUACCAUAAUCAUUCCUUCUCAAAUAACCUUUCGAUGCAUCAUUCUAAUUUUUCAUUUGAUAACCUCCUUGAGAUGGAAUCACCGUGGCUCCAACUGUUAAGUUCUGGUCAUAGUGACAUUCCUCCCAUACUUUUGCUCACUCAAGAGAUGAUGCAAUGGUGGCUGAUUGGGCCUCCUUUACAAACAUCUUCAAUUCUAGUGGGUGUAGUCCAUUAACCAAUAUGGACAACACAAAUGAUUCUAACAUUUGGUUAUUUGGCCAUUUUCGAAGUAUAUCUGCUAUACGACCAUAAUAUGACUGUACCGCUUUCCCUGGUACCAUUCUGCAGUUUAUUAAUUUUUCUCUAAGACGAUCUUCAAAACCAAUUGGUCGAAAAUGGGCUAAAAAUUCAUUUUUCAAUGCCUCCUAAUUAAUAAAUUGUCCCACACGUUGGUAGUUAUACCACUCAAACACUGUGUCUUUCAAUGUCACUGGCAGCCAUUGCAACCAAAUAUCUUCAGUUCUAUCAUUAUUAGCUACACAUGCUGUAAAAAAUUGAGACAAAUGUUGAUCGGGAUCUGCACUCGAAAAUCCUCAAAAAGUAGGUAGUGGCACGACAGUAGUCGUUCAAUCGCCCACUGCAUCCAUUUGAACUGCAAUCGGAAUGGCUGGUCCUCUUGAAACCAUUAAAUUUCUUGUUCCGCUAAACUCCGUUUUAAAAUAAUCUCUGCUUUCCUUUAUUCUAAAUUCCGAGCUCUCAGUGCUCCUCGAUUUAUUGUUAUUUUUUGCAAGUAGUUUUAUUGAUUGAAUUGUAGGUGAAAACUUCAGAUUUUGAAAUACAAUAUAGUUAUCUUUAUUGGCGAGCAAUUUGUACCAAUAUGAAGAGCCACUAUUGCUCGUUUCAGCAGUACCCUUUACUGAAAAAAUACCCAAUGGAGUACCAAAUUCUUCUAUGCCUCCUUCUCUUUCAGUUAAUGGUCUCAAGAUUUCCACUGAAAUGUUAACAAAAUUUCUCGCAAGUGUUCUUGGCAAUUUUUUUAAUGGUACAUACAACUAUAGAAUUAAUAGUUUGUCCAGUUCUUGAUAUGUUCGGAUGCACCGAUAAGCUUGCAACCAUGGUUUAAUCUAAUUCUGUCGAUGUUUCUUUUUAAGAUUACAUUCUUGCUCUUCUCUAAGUAAAUUCUUUCUUUGCACUCUUCCCUACCUUUCUCUCAACUGAUUUAUUUUCUUCAAUGCAAUGCUCUCGUUCUUAUUAAGUAUAAUCUUGUUUCAAACACUACUGAAAUCGUCUUCUAUUGCCAAUUUUUUCACACGUUUGGUAAUUAAUUCCUAACACUCAAAGCUAUUAUCACUCCCCUGCAGCGGCACCAAAAUAUAAUUGCUCGUUUUACUUAUUCCAAAUUAAUCUAAUAAAAAUAAACCCAUAUAAGGGGAUUCGAACACAGGGAAUGACUAGUUGCUUAAGCGUUCACAUUAGGGUCAUACAAUCAAUUACCUCCUGAAUGUAUCAUCUCUAUUUCCAAUAUCUGAACACACAAGGAAACUAUAAUCUCUUCCUUCACCUUAUCGGUCUCUUUCUUACAGCAAUUCAAUCAUACCAAUAACUACUAUUUCUAUCAAUAUAUUCACCCUCAUAAUCUCCAACUGUAAUACUGCGCCCUCACAGCUUUCAACACACAAUUACACUCAUUCCAAUCACUAGAAUUCUUCACACAGAACUGCCAUUCACAUUACGGUGUUUGAUACAAACACAGACUCAUUCUCUCUGCUAAACUACAAUCAGAUUUCAGCAUUCAAUCUUUUUUUUUCUCAAAUAAUAUCAAUCACAUUUCCAUUCCAUAAUUCACUUCAUAAUAUUCAGAAACUUUCAAUCCUCUUAUUCAAAGAAAAUAA